rnacentral:sRNA from 1 species
AUUCUGCCCAUGCGGGGAAGGAUGAGAAGCUUCGACCAAGUCGUACUCGAGCGCCAGCGAGAGAGCGUUGCCGCAGGCAACGACCCGAAGGGCGAAGCGCGCAGCGCUGAGUAAUCCUUCCCCCACCACCA